AGAUUGAACGCUGGCGGAAUGCUUUACACAUGCAAGUCGAACGGCAGCACGGGACUCAGGCAACUGAGCCCUGGUGGCGAGUGGCGAACGGGUGAGUAACAUAUCGGAACGUACCCAGUCGUGGGGGAUAACUCUCCGAAAGGAGAGCUAAAUACCGCAUACGUCCUGAGGAGAAAGCGGGGACCUAAGGGUAACUGAGGGCCUCGCGCGAUUGGAGCGGCCGAUAGUCGGAUUAGCUAGUUGGUGAGGUAAAG
rnacentral:rRNA from 1 species